ensembl:antisense Zbtb11os1 zinc finger and BTB domain containing 11, opposite strand 1
GGGCGAGGGUCCGCCCCCAGCCUCCCGGGCCUCCUUCCUGUAGGGGAAGUGCGGCUGCUUUCGCGUCCCCAGCCCGCUCUGCUCCGCUUGGCUCGGCUGGGUCCCGCGGUUGCCGCGCAGCCGAACGGACGCACGCACGCCUCCGGGCUAAGGAUACGGCCCGGUCCCCAGACUUGAGGGCUCGCGGGUGCGCACGCAGGCCCGGCCUCGGGCCGGGCCGAGCCGCCCCCCUCGGCCCCCGGGGCCCGGCGCACUCACCUCGCCACCAGUAGGUCUUGGACAGGUCGUGCCAGGUCUGGUGCCGGGUGUGGUGGGUGCCCCCGGGGCCCAAAUGGGCCGCCUCGAUGAGGCCCUGGCGACGCUCCGGCUGCAACACCACCUCCAGCUCGGCGAAGGUCUUGCGGUGCCGCUGCCGCCGCUGGUAGUAGAGGGUCCCGCCGCGCACGACGUAGCAGGCGGCGGCCUUGCGGAUCUUCCGCUUGACAUUGCCCUCGGUGCCCGGCGCAUAGGGCUCGCGUUCGUUCGUCAGGUAGCGCAGGAUGGCCCGGUAGCUCUCCUCGCUUGACAUAGCCGCCGGCAGCGCCCUCGGGGGCGCCUGUCAGUGGUAAGGAGAGGCAGACAGCGCCGCGGCUCGGGAGAGGGGCCGCGGCGACCCGGGGAGGAGCGAAGGCGACGCCUGUGGUGGGCGCUCUCUCUCUCCGAGGGCGCCCGCCUGCCCGCCCGCCCGCAGCGCGGAGGGGAAGAACCGACCACCUGGUAACCAGGGGGAACUGCACUUCGGCAGCGCGCGGGAUCCGCUGGCGACUGACAAAAUGGCUGCUGCACCACCGGAAGUGACGCGCGGUAGCGGGGCGGGGCCGCCACCCCGAUUGGAGCGCGCUUCGGCUCUGCGCUCCCAGGGAGCCGGCGGUGUGACGUCAACACUGCGGGAGGACAUGUUGGAAGAGGGAACGCGCUCUCUCCGGCAGAUACGGGGGUCCUCAGCAGACAUCUUAAGUCUUGGCAGGGCCCUCCCCCACCGCCCUCCCUUUCCUUUCCCACGCUCUCUGUAAAGCCACGUGUUUGAGCGGUUCGCUGUUUGUUUCCCUGAGACCCUCCCCGUAAACGGUAACUGAGUCAGUUGUUCUGUAUACUCUGAGACUAGAUAUACCAGAUACCGCCGAGUUUGAAACUGUAGCAAUUGAUUGCCACUGUCUGAGCCUCUGGGCCAAAUACUGUCGCAGUAUUACCGAGCAUUAAGUGCUUCAGUGUUACGAAUUUUCUCCAAACUACCUAAGUAAUUUUCUAGAAACAUCACCAUGGUGACGACUAUGCAGGUCCAGAUUGCUUAGAUGAUUAAAUAACAUGCAGAAGUAACUCUCAA